rnacentral:rRNA from 1 species
UACAGAGGUCCCGAGCGUUGUUCGGAUUCACUGGGCGUAAAGGGUGCGUAGGUGGCAUGGUAAGUUUGAUGUGAAAGCUCAGGGCUUAACCCUGAAAUGGCAUUGAAUACUACUGUGCUGGAGGUUUGGAGGGGGGACUGGAAUUCUUGGUGUAGCAGUGAAAUGCGUAGAUAUCAAGAGGAACACCAGUGGCGAAGGCGAGUCCCUGGACAACACCUGACACUGAGGCACGAAGGUCAGGGGAGCAAACGGG